rfam:Labrenzia alba strain CECT 5096 genome assembly, contig: 0013
UGGAUAGCUCAGUAGGUAGAGCAUCGGACUGCGAAUCCGACGGUCGCGGGUUCAACUCCCGCUCCA